UACGAAGGGGGCUAGCGUUGCUCGGAAUCACUGGGCGUAAAGCGCACGUAGGCGGCUUUUUAAGUCAGAGGUGAAAUCCUGGAGCUCAACUCCAGAACUGCCUUUGAUACUGAGAGGCUUGAGUCCGGGAGAGGUGAGUGGAACUGCGAGUGUAGAGGUGAAAUUCGUAGAUAUUCGCAAGAACACCAGUGGCGAAGGCGGCUCACUGGCCCGGUACUGACGCUGAGGUGCGAAAGCGUGGGGAGCAAACAGGG
rnacentral:rRNA from 1 species